rnacentral:lncRNA from 1 species
CAUCAGUCUGUGCAAGAGAUUUGGGUUGACUGAGGGGAUUGUAGGUGCAUUCUAGAGCGGCUCUUUUUAUUUAAAAGAUUUCUUGGGAUAGGUUACACUGCAGAAGUCUAUUACAUCAAAAGGGUGUUGCCAUCUCUCCCUUUUGUAAUUAGUAUGGAGAGGUGGAGGAGAUAGUGGACCAUGCCAUCUUUACUUGUCAAAGAACCCAUCAGAUUUGGAGUCGAGCAUCAAGUAUUGUAUGCUUUGGAAUUUAGCCUGG